rnacentral:rRNA from 1 species
GACGAUCGCUGGCGGCGUGCCUAACACAUGCAAGUCGAGCGGGGUCCAUCCGGUAGCAAUACCGGGGAAGACCUAGCGGCGAACGGUGAGUAACACGUGAGAAACCCGCCCCGAAGUCUGGGAUAACCCGAGGAAACUCGAGCUAAUACCGGAUGUCUUCUUCUGAUCGCAUGGUCGGAUGAAGAAAGAUUUAUCGCUUCGGGAGGGUCUCGCGGCCUAUCAGCUAGUUGGCGGGUAACGGCCCACCAAGGCGUCGACGGGUAGCUGGUCUGAGAGGACGAUCAGCCACACUGGGACUGAGACACGGCCCAGACUCCUACGGGAGGCAGCAGUGGGGAAUAUUGCGCAAUGGGCGAAAGCCUGACGCAGCAACGCCGCGUGCGGGAUGAAGGCCUCGGUUGUAACCGCUUUCAGUGGGACGAAGUU